UACGGGGGGAGCAAGCGUUGUUCGGAUUUACUGGGCGUAAAGCGCGCGUAGGCGGCUUUGUAAGUUAGAGGUGAAAGCCCGGAGCUCAACUCCGGAACUGCCUUUAAAACUGCAUCGCUUGAAUCCAGGAGAGGUGAGUGGAAUUCCGAGUGUAGAGGUGAAAUUCGUAGAUAUUCGGAAGAACACCAGUGGCGAAGGCGGCUCACUGGACUGGUAUUGACGCUGAGGUGCGAAAGCGUGGGGAGCAAACAGG
rnacentral:rRNA from 1 species